rnacentral:rRNA from 1 species
UACCAGCACCCCGAGUGGUCGGGACGUUUAUUGGGCCUAAAGCAUCCGUAGCCGGUUCUACGAGUCUUCCGUUAAAUCCAACUGCUUAACAGGUGGGCUGCGGAAGAUACUAUAGAGCUAGGAGGCGGGAGAGGCAAGCGGUACUCGAUGGGUAGGGGUAAAAUCCGUUGAUCCAUUGAAGACCACCAGUGGCGAAGGCGGCUUGCCAGAACACGCCUCGACGGUGAGGGAUGAAAGCUGGGG